GACACUCUCAUCAGAUGUGUGAAAGACCUGACGUUGGGAAUGGAGAAAAUGUGUUGAACGAGAGAGCCAGGGUUCCCAGAAGAUGCCAGCAGUUUAGAAUUCUGAUCAGAUUUAACAAGAAGGCAUUUAAAAAUGCUAAUUGUUAAGUACGAUGCUUGGAUUCCCAAAGCAGCUGAACAAGGGGUUGGGGAGUCAGCGCUGAGUGACAGGUCACAAUGCGAACCUCACAGAGGGAGCGGUGUGUAACUGGAUGAAGGCCCGCAGGAGGACAUCUAGGGUGAGCUCGAGCAGCACUGGGAGAAGGCCAGCAUGCCGAGCUGCUACUCGCCUCGGAUCAGUCAACACCUGGAAAGCAUUCCAGUUGGGGGACCACAGUUUAAGACUGACAUGGCUACCGAGGAUGGAUGCUGGAGCCAGAUGCUGUUCAAGUCCUGACUUUGUCUCCUACUGGCUGUGUGACCUUGGGCAAGUUACUUAACUAUGUUGAAACCAAAACUCAGUGAGAACACAGAGAGUGAGCAACUCCAGACCCUUGCUGUGACCACUGAGCAUCACUGCCUUCUUCCUGAGACCUGUCUCUUCUCAUUCUGAUUGGCCUGUGAACCUGUUGCUCCUUCCAGACCAACAGAGUACAGUGGUUGGAGAGGCCCAAACGUCUGCAGAGACGGGGGGCUGUACCAUUCUCAGAUUGGGGCUGGAGCUCGGUGUGACUGCUGGGGUUUCCUGCUAUUUCUGGAGCCUCCGUGCAUACUGCUUAGGGCUGGAUCCAGCAGCACAGAGGCAAACCGAUGUUAAUAGUCCACAUAACAUAUUUUAAUAUGAAACCAUCAGUUGACUGGUGUUUUCUUCUGAUUGUUCCUUAUGGUAUAUUUAGGGGGUAAAAAUGCUUCUCUGUUACAUGGAUCAAUUUCACCUUGAUGAAGUCUGGGAUUUUAGUGUACCCAUCACCGAAGUAGUAUACAUUGUACCCAAUAGGUAAGUUUUCAUCCCAAACUCCUCCCCCUUCUGAAUCUCUCCCCCUCUGGAUCUUCAGUGUCCAUUAUAACAUCUGUAUGGCUGUGCGUACCCAUAGCUUAGC